rnacentral:lncRNA from 1 species
UUGAUCUAAAUUCUCUAAGUUGGGCUUUUUUAUAACUUCAUACCUGAGAAUUAUAAGAUCAAGUUCAAGCAAGGACCCUUUGUAAGCUUCCUUCAUUCUUUUAUCGCUUUCUAGCUUAAAAGUCACAGUGUUUGACUUUCGGUUUUGACCAUUAAAUGGUCAACGCAAAGUUCGUUUGAACUUUGUAACGUGAUUGUAAUCACGAUGGUUAUAAUCCUUAGCGACUAUACCUACUGAUUACCACGUUAACUAGACGUUGUGAUGAGUCAAAGUUUCGGUCAAAAUGCGUUUUAGCACGCAUUUUGCCACAUAACUACUUUUAGGUAUCAAAACACUUUGUUUUGAUACCAAAUCAGUUUUCUAAGUAGGUUAAACAUGUUUUGACAUGUUUAACUCAUCACUAUUAGUUUAGUGCUUGUUUAGGGUCGUAAGUUAAGAGUUCUAAACAACCGCUUAGACUUUUGAACCCGACCCGUUUGGUCGAUCAUUAGGAUCCGACCAAGCUUGCUUAGUGAUCAUAGUUGCAUAGGGAAUAACCUCUGAGGUUAUACCUUAUGAUCACUUAGGAUUGGUUAGUCAUUUGUUAGUUAGCUUAUAUGCCCAUAGGGAAUGACCAAAAUGCCCUCUUGAAGCGUAAAUCCAUAUUUUUGCAUAUGUGAUCAACUUUUUGACAUAUAAUCUGAUUUAGUAACAUGUUUAGGCAUAAUUGGGCAUGUAAGACUUGACAUAGCACAUAGUUAACCAUCCGACCAUAGUUUUACGCAAACGACGCAUUAUAGUAGCUUAUACUACCAUAACGGGUUGAAACGGGUCAAAAGCACUUAGGUAGACUUCCAAAUCAGAAUGUUAGCUCUAUUAAAUCAUACCAUAUGAGUUCAAAUACUUAUUUGAUUUAUAGAACACCAUUCUAUCCUAUCUCCCGAUUUAGGAUUCGAUUGUAUGACAUAGUAAUUCCAUAAUAGGUGCCACUUGAUUCCUUGAUUUCCCGAACUUUGUUAGGACACUAAAUCAAGGAUUCUUGCAACCUCAAGUGAGUACAUAGUCCCCUCUUUUACUGUUUUCAAUUGUUUUGGGGUGAAACAUAUGUGCCUAUUUGUUAUUUUCAUGAUUUGUAACUAUAUGAUUACACAUGCUUAGUACUUGUUCUUUUGACAAAUUAAACAAUUACCUAUGGUUUAAACACUGAUUUUCAAAACUUGUAAAACAAAUUGUUGGAUCGUACUCUCUUUAUACAUUCACCAAGCCGAUUGGUAGUAUGAUAUAGCGCUAUAGGACUAGACACCCCAUUCCUGUUGUACGGAAUGUCAGAAACCAAAUUUUAACCAAAUAGAAAUUUCCUUUGUGGUAUUUCUAUAGUCUCCAAAGUGUAGUUUGAUACACUAAGAUUUGAAUGAAUACCAAAUCACAGUGUCUUUUGUAUAUUUUGAUAUACUACAAAAGUACAGUUUGAUGUGCUCUCAAAUGUGAUCUACCAAAGUAUAUUUUGAUAUACUAUGUACAAAAUCCAACAUAUGUUUUAACAUGCUACUUUGAUAUAAACCAAAGUAUAGUUUGAUAUGCUACUGUUUACUAAAGUAUAUUUUGAUGUACUACCAAAGCAUAGUUUGAUAUGCUAUUUUCAAACCAAAGCAUAGUUUGAUAUGCUACUGUUUACUAAAGUAUAUUUUGAUGUACUACCAAAGCAUAGUUUGAUAUGCUAUUUUCAAACCAAAGCAUAGUUGAUAUGCUAUUUUCAAACAAAAGUAUAAGUUGAUAUACUACCAAUAUUUUUAUUCUUAAACCAAAGUAUACUUGAGAUAUACUAUCAAAUAUAUUAUUUCAUUAACCAAAGUAUAUUUUGAUAUACUACCUAUUAACUAUUUCAAAACUAAAGUAUAUUUUGAUAUACUACUUAUCCGGUCUUUUCUAAACCAAAGUAUAUUUUAUAUACUACAAACCUUUUAUCAAAUAAUACAGUUUAGAAACAAAACUUUUCACAAGGAUUCAUGGCUAUUUUUGGCAAAACAUAAAACCUUUUCUUAUGUUAACUAAAGCCAUGAAUCUAAAUCAACAAAACCUAUGUACUGCUAUGUGAUGAUUGUUGAUGCAUGCUACACAUAGGAUGGACUUGUGCCUUAGCGACUUUAAAACUGAGAAACAAUUAUUUGCAUUUAUCUGAAUUGUAAUAGAACAUU